rnacentral:rRNA from 1 species
GAUGAACGCUGGCGGCGUGCUUAACACAUGCAAGUCGAACGUGAUAGGUAGCAAUAUCUUGAAAGUGGCGAACGGGUGAGUAACACGUGGGUAACCUGCCUCGGAGUGGGGGAUAACAGUUAGAAAUGACUGCUAAAACCGCAUGAAUCCAUAAAUUGGGGACAAUUAAUGGAGAAAACUCUGGUGCUUCGAGAGGGGCCCGCGGCCGAUUAGCUAGUUGGUGAGGUAACGGCUCACCAAGGCGACGAUCGGUAGCUGGUCUGAGAGGACGAUCAGCCACACGGGAACUGAGACACGGUCCCGACUCCUACGGGGGGCAGCAGUGAGGAAUAUUGGGCAAUGGGCGCAAGCCUGACCCAGCAACGCCGCGUGGAGGAAUGAAGGCCUUCGGGUUGUAAAGCUCUGUCUGGAGGGACGAAGGAAGUGACGGUACCUCCGGAGGAAGCCACGGCUAACUACGUG